rnacentral:rRNA from 1 species
UACAGAGGUCUCAAGCGUUGUUCGGAUUCAUUGGGCGUAAAGGGUGCGUAGGCGGCGCGGUAAGUCGGGUGUGAAAUCUUGGAGCUUAACUCCGAAACUGCAUUCGAUACUGCCGUGCUUGAGGACUGGAGAGGAGACUGGAAUUUACGGUGUAGCGGUGAAAUGCGUAGAUAUCGUAAGGAAGACCAGUGGCGAAGGCGGGUCUCUGGACAGUUCCUGACGCUGAGAAGCGAAAGCAUGGGGAGCGAACAGG